UACAGAGGUCUCAACCGUUGUUCGGAUUCAUUGGGCGUAAAGGGUGCGUAGGCGGUCGGGUAAGUCGGAUGUGAAAUCUCAGGGCUCAACCCUGAAACUGCAUUCGAUACUGCCUGGCUAGGGUACUGGAGAAGGAGACUGGAAUUUACGGUGUAGCAGUGAAAUGCGUAGAUAUCGUAAGGAAGACCAGUGGCGAAGGCGAGUCUCUGGACAGUUACCGACGCUGAGGCACGAAGGUCAGGGGAGCAAACGGG
rnacentral:rRNA from 1 species